UACAGGGGGGGCAAGCGUUGUUCGGAAUUACUGGGCGUAAAGGGUUUGUAGGUGGCUUGCUAAGUCAGACGUGAAAUCCCUCAGCUUAACUGGGGAACUGCGUCUGAUACUGGCGAGCUUGAGUGCAGGAGAGGAACGCGGAAUUCCAGGUGUAGCGGUGAAAUGCGUAGAUAUCUGGAAGAACACCCGUGGCGAAGGCGGCUCUCUGGGACGGUACUGACGCUGAGACGCGAAAGCGUGGGGAGCGAACAGG
rnacentral:rRNA from 1 species